rnacentral:tRNA from 1 species
GGGUCGUUAGCUCAGUCGGUAGAGCAGCGGACUUUUAAUCCGUUGGUCGCGUGUUCGAGUAACGCACGACCCACCA